GAAGAAACUACCGGAGGCCAGAAGC
rnacentral:piRNA from 1 species